rnacentral:rRNA from 1 species
GACGAACGCUGGCGGCGUGCCUAAUACAUGCAAGUAGGACGCAGUUGCGAACGGGUGAGUAACGCGUAGGUAACUACCUAUUAGAGGGGGAUAACUAUUGGAAACGAUAGCUAAUACCGCAUACUAGUAGAUGGACCUGCGUUGUAUUAGCUAGUAGGUAGGGUAAUGGCCUACCUAGGCAACGAUACAUAGCCGAACUGGGGGGGUGGACGGCCACAACGGGACUGGAGAACGGCCCAGGACCCUACGGGGGGCAGCAGGAGGGAAUCUUCGGCAAAGGGGGGAAACCUGACCGAGCAACGGCGGGGGAGUGAAGAAGGUUUUCGGGACGUAAAGCUCGGUUGUUAAGGAAGCGGUACUUAACCAGAAAGGGACGGCUAACUACGUGCCAGCAGCCGCGGUAAUAC